UAUUCAAAUGAGAACUUUGAAGACUGAAGUGGAGAAAGGUUCCACGUGAACAGCAAUUGGACGUGGGUUAGUCGAUCCUAAGAGAUAGGAGAAAUCCGUUGCAAGGCGGGCGUUUCGGCGCCCCUUCUAUCGAAAGGGAAUCGGGUUAAUAUUCCCGAACCAGGACGUGGAUAAUGAGUGGCAACACAAGCGAAAUCGGGGACGUUGGCGGGAGCCCCGGGAAGAGUUCUCUUUUCUUCUUAACAGUUCAGUGGACCUUGGAAUCGGAUUGCCCGGCGAUAAGGUUCAGUGGCUGGGAAAGCGGCACACUUUUUGUGCCGUCCGGUGCGCUUCCGACGACCCGUGAAAACCCGGUGGCGUGACUUAUUCGCACCCCUGGUCGUACUCAUAACCGCCUCAGGUCUCCAAGGUGUGCAGCCUCUAGUCGAUAGAACAAUGUAGAUAAGGGAAGUCGGCAAAAUAGUUCCGUAACUUCGGGAAAAGG
rnacentral:rRNA from 1 species